rnacentral:lncRNA from 1 species
CUGCUUCUACUUUUUGGUUCUUUUGAAUUGUUACACUAACCCUUGCUGGGUUGAUGACAUCAGAUGAAGCUUCUUUGAAGAACCGGCGGCUCCCAAAGGGAUAUUUCAAAGGGAAGAACAGAAGGCAGCUUCAUCUGACAAGCGAGUGAACCAGAAGACAUCUUCAGGCGAUCAGUCAGGUAAAGACGGGUAAAGCUAAGAAUACACAAUUAUGGGCUCAUUGCUCUUACCCUAGGUAGAUAGUGGCCAUUGGUGGACAUCACCUUCUGCGCCCUAGCCAGGAUUUACCAACUGGCUUAAAGCAAAAAGAACCGAUGAUAUCGCUACAAGAAAAGCUGUGGCUGCAACUGAGACUCAGCUAAAGAGGCUAUUGUGAAGCUUUUGGGUACUGAUACAAACUGUGCCUGUGGUAAUGUUUGAGAUUUGAGGGUAACAUCUCUAUAGAAAAAAGGCUUCAGAUUGGAUUCAGGGAAGUAAGAAAAAAGCUCCUUGUUAGUUGUUACCAUAUAAAGAAGGAUCGGUCACCAACUGUUUC